GAGUUUGAUCAUGGCUCAGAUUGAACGCUGGCGGCAUGCCUUACACAUGCAAGUCGAGCGGCAGCGCGGGGGCAACCCUGGCGGCGAGCGGCGAACGGGUGAGUAAUACAUCGGAACGUGUCCAGUAGGCGGGGGAUAACCUCUCGAAAGAGAGGCUAAUACCGCAUACGACCUACGGGUGAAAGCGGGGGACCGCAAGGCCUCGCACUAUUGGAGCGGCCGAUGUCGGAUUAGCUAGUUGGCGGGGUAAAAGCCCACCAAGGCGACGAUCCGUAGCUGGUCUGAGAGGACGAUCAGCCACACUGGAACUGAGACACGGUCCAGACUCCUACGGGAGGCAGCAGUGGGGAAUUUUGGACAAUGGGGGCAACCCUGAUCCAGCCAUGCCGCGUGAGUGAAGAAGGCC
rnacentral:rRNA from 1 species